GGCCUUCCUCUGCUGGGCGAUCGAUCAUGGAGACCCUCAUCGAUCGCCCCACAGAGGGAGGCC
rnacentral:pre_miRNA from 1 species